rnacentral:rRNA from 1 species
GACGAACGCUGGCGGCGUGCCUAAUACAUGCAAGUCGAACGCAGUGGGGACGGGUGAGUAACACGUGGGUAACCUCCCAUCAGAGGGGAUAACACUUGGAAACAGGUGCUAAACCGAUACUGAUGGAUGGACCCGCGGUGCAUUAGCUAGGUGGUGAGGUAACGGCCCACAAAGGCCACGAUGCAUAGCCGGCCGGAGGGGGUGAUCGGCCAAACGUGGACUGAGACACGGCCCAGACUCCUAAGUGAGGCAGCAGUAGGAAAUUUUCGGCAAGGGACGAAAGUCUGACCGAGCAACGCCGAGUGAGUGAAGAAGGUUUUCGGAUCGUAAAACUCUGUUGUUAGAGAAGCGGUAUCUAACCAGAAAGCCACGGCUAACUACGUGCCAGCAGCCGCGGUAAUUC